UGACAUGUACGGAAGGAUCCAGAGAUGGAUUUGUGCUCGAAAGAGAACCGUAACACAGGUGCUGCAUGGCUGUCGUCAGCUCGUGUCGUGAGAUGUUGGGUUAAGUCCCGCAACGAGCGCAACCCUUGUCAUUAGUUGCUACAUUUAGUUGGGCACUCUAAUGAGACUGCCGGUGACAAACCGGAGGAAGGUGGGGAUGACGUCAAGUCCUCAUGGCCCUUAUAGGUGGGGCUACACACGUCAUACAAUGGCUGGUACAAAGGGUUGCCAACCCGCGAGGGGGAGCUAAUCCCAUAAAACCAGUCGUAGUCCGGAUCGCAGUCUGCAACUCGGCUGCGUGAAGUCGGAAUCGCUAGUAAUCGUGGAUCAGAAUGUCACGGUGAAUACGGUCCCGGGUCUUGUACACACCGCCCGUCACACCAUGGGAGCGGGUUCUGCCAG
rnacentral:rRNA from 1 species